rnacentral:tRNA from 1 species
GCCCGCGUGGCGGAAAGGCAGACGCAACAGACUUAAAAUCUGUCGGCUCAGGCCGUCCCGGUUCAAGUCCGGGCGCGGGCACCA